rnacentral:rRNA from 1 species
UACAGAGACUGCAAGCGUUAUUCGGAUUUACUGGGCGUAAAGGGUGUGCAGGCGGGGGAGCAAGUGGUGUAUGAAAUCUCCAGGCUUAACCUGGAGGGGUUAUGCCAGACUGCUGCUCUAGAGGACGAGAGAGGGGGGUGGAAUUCCGGGUGUAGUGGUGAAAUGCGUAGAGAUCCAGAGGAACCCCAGAGGCGAAGGCGGCCCCCUGGCUCGUACCUGACGCUCAGCCACGAAAGCAUGGGGAGCGAACGGG